rnacentral:lncRNA from 1 species
UAAUUAUUAAAGAAAAGACACUUUGGUUGUACCUAAAGACAUAACCAUGUCUAUAAAUUAUAGAUCGGUACUAACACAAAAUUAGGGAGAUGUUCCUUCACCUCCCCAAAUCCAUAAUGUAUCUCUCCAAAUAAUUCUUAAUUUCAAAAUUAUCUUUUUUAACUUUAAUUUUUUACUUUUUUAUCCUUUUAAUUUAUGAAAACCCUAAUCUUUACUUUUCCUUUUCACUUUCAUGCGCAGCUGCACACCCCGUCCCACCAAACUUUCAUUUUAUUCCCUACCACCAAACUUUAAUUUUAUUUCUUUCUCUCUUUCUCUCAAGUGUUUUCCCAAUUCUUUCUUCACAUCCGUUUUCAAUUUUUUCCAUUUUAUGCCUUGGUCGUGUGUUACUUGUGCGGUGGUGGUGUGGUGUUGGUCCGGUGGUGCUGUGGUGAUUCGUUAGUGGUGUUUCGGUGCAUGCCGUUUCCUCCCAGACUCAACAGAUAUGGCACAUCGUUUUUCCUUCAACGAAUGUGGAUAUCCGUUUACGGAUGUUGACAUCCAUUUAAUAUUUCGUCCCAUACUCAUAUCCGUUACCUUUAACUACCACCACCAGACAAAGCUAAGGGAAAAGUAGAAAUUUAGGAUUACUUAAAUAAAAAAGGUUAAAAAAGUAAAU